rnacentral:rRNA from 1 species
UGCCUACGGGGCGCAGCAGUGGGGAAUAUUGGGCAAUGGGCGCAAGCCUGACCCAGCAACGCCGCGUGAAGGAGGAAGGCUUUCGGGUUGUAAACUUCUUUUAUGAGGGACGAAACAAAUGACGGUACCUCAUGAAUAAGCCACGGCUAACUACGUGACAGCAGCCGCGGCAAUACGCAGGUGGCAAGCGUUAUACGGAUUUACUGGGUGUAAUGGGCGUGUAGUCGGGACUGCAAGUCAGAUGUGAAA